AUUCUAGCAGCCAAUUAAAGUGGUAGGUUGUAUAUUUGAGACAUCUCGAAGUUUAAAAAAAAUAGAUGAUGGUAGUUAAUAAGAAGUUAACAAUGUUCAAUUGUUAACGCACGACGGACGACAAGCAAUUGCAAUAGGUCGCAUCUGAAAAAAAAAUUAAGACCCCUGCUAGACUUGAACCCGCGAUCUACAAAUCAGCAGUCGACAUAUUAAAAUGAAUAUACAAAUACAAUGUAUUGCUGAUAUUUAUAUUUCCAUUCAUGUUUUAAAAGUCAUUAUGACGAUGCAGUAUACCUCCAUAAUGAUGAUUUACAUCUACACAUCCCAAUGUCCAUAUAUCUGAAUUAUUAAACAUCCGGUGUGUACAUAGGAUACAUUAUUAUUGAUUUUUUAUGUUUGAAAAUAAAUGAGGGCUUUACACCAGCAUACAAGAUGGAGCACGUUAACGCGUCAUGAAAAGUAUGCUGGCGUGAAGCGUUGCUGUUCAUACUCUCAUGUACUUUGCAAAAUGAAAACUUUUUACAUUCUACUUUCAUUUCUGUCGAAAUUCCAACCAACGCACUAUAUCCAUGAAGAUCUAUACGCGCAUUACUCACAACUGCAUCGCAUUUAGGAGGACAUGACUAAGGUCAAAGAAUAAACCCGAGAAACUCUAAGCUUCCAACAACAUCGCGGGUUAAAAUGAGGGAAGUUUUCAAAUCUAACCAUGGAGGAUAUAAAUGAAGAGAGGAGUUUUACUGAAGCUUAUCAAACGAAUUCCAAGUACGCUCUAAAGCACGAGAGAGUGUGAAAAUGAGACAGAAGAUGGCACAUCCUACGACGCGAGGAGAAAUUACAGACCUACAUCAGUCAACUGAAUGCAGAGUUGGCAUCAUCCCGUUUCUUCGUUAAAUGAAGCAGAGCUGGAUACUGAUUUAGAUGUCUUGUUACUGCAGAGGAAUUAGAUCGAGAUAACAAACACAAACUUAUCUUUUGGAAAAGAUUAAAUGAUUUCUUUAACUUUUAUACAACCACAAAUGAACAUUUCAAUGAGGAAAACAAGCUUAAGAUGAAAGAAAUAUUUGUGGUACCUUUUUGUGUAUGACAAAUAGACACUAUAUCGAAUCCUUAAAUUAGUACUGUAAUGAUAAUGAAAUUUCUUCCAGUAAAAGGCUUUGUUCAAUUAAUCAGCAAUGCAAAGUGAAUAUAUCAAAA